AGCCCCUUUCUUCCCCCACCCAUAUUCCCCACAGCAACCCUAACCCAAACCCUAGCCGUCUCUCUCUCUCUCUCCUCCGAGCAAGAUGUCGCACUUCGGAAGGUCCGGCCCUCCAGACAUCAAAGACACCUACUCUCUCCUCGUCCUCAACAUCACCUUCCGAACCAGCGCAGACGAUUUGUUCCCCCUCUUCGAAAAGUACGGGAAGGUCGUCGACGUUUUCAUCCCCAGAGACAGGAGGACUGGUGAUUCACGAGGUUUUGCUUUUGUUCGCUACAAGUAUGCUGAUGAAGCCCAGAAGGCGGUUGAGAAGCUCGAUGGACGAGUGGUUGAUGGCAGAGAGAUAAUGGUUCAAUUUGCUAAGUAUGGACCCAGUGCUGAAAAAAUCCAUAAAGGGAGGAUAGUGGAAUCAGCAUCGAGGUCAAAAGAAAGGUCAAGAAGCCGCAGUCCUCGGCCUAGGUAUAGGGAUGAAUAUAGGGGUAGGGAUUCCAGGAGGAGAAGUCGUAGCAGAAGUAGGGGAAGAUAUGAUCGUGACCAGCCUCGAGGAAGGGAAAGAGAUUAUCGUCGUAGAAGCAGGAGCCUCAGUGGAAGUCCUGAUUAUCACAAGGAACGUGGAAGAGGCAAAUAUGAUGAUGAAAGGCGUGGUCGAAGUCGGUCUUAUGGAAGUGCGUCCCCUGCUCGUCGUAGUCCUAGUCCUCGGAGGAGCCCCUCUCCACGCAGGACCCCACCAUCUAGGGGUGGCAGUCCAGACGGACGCAAUGGCAAAGCAAGCUCUCCUACUCCAAAGAGUGUCUCACCACGUGGUGGUAGACGUGCUGGUUCUCGUAGCCCAUCUCCUCAUUCUGAUGCUGAUGAAUGAAGGGGCGGUAUACCAUGUGAUGCUUCUCUUACCCGUAUGCCAUAUCAUACUCAGCUGUGGUCUGUGGCUAUUCCUGAGAGGACAUUUCAAUCGAGUGUCAAUGUUGCUACCAGUUUAUUGAUUGCUAGAAUUGUAUGUUCGUGAAAGAUUUUUAAGGGGUAGAGUGAAUGUAGCUGAAUGGCUGAUGCUGUAGCAGCCGUUGAUAUGCUGUUUUUUACUUUGCGGUUGGUCGAUGUGAUUUCUUGCCGGUUGGUCGAUGUCAUUUCUUGCUGGUUGGACAUUACGAUGUUUUACAGAUUUCUCUGAUGAUUUCAUCUUUGGAGUCUUAGUAGCUGUGAUGACCUAAAAGAUGGUUGGAGCUGUCCUCGUGCCUUAACGUGUGGCUGAUGCUGUUAAGCUGCUGAACCACCCACCGUAGACCCAAUUAUAGUGAGAACCUGUUAUGCUGGGCUGGACAUUGGUGAAUGAGCACAUGAGAUCGUGGCUGUAGAUAUGAUGUGAGCCGAUACGUCAUAAAUCGCUUUUUGCUGAACUUAUUGCUGACAGCAAUUGAAUUGGGUGUUCCCUUUUUUGGUGUUGAUGAGUGAUGCUUGGUUUGGUAGCUGUUUCCUGUUUUGCACCUGGCUCUGGUAGCUGUACUUCACUUCCUUGCCUUCCAGCACAUCUUGAAGAUGCUGAAUCAGAGGUUUUGGUAUGAUCGUACUGCAAAGUGUUUUUAAAUUCAUGGCAGUAUUUUGUCCCACCUGUAGGCACGUCGUUUGCCUGUGUCUUGCAUCUUAUGAUUAGUUCUUGUUAAUUUAGGCAUUUCUUGUACUUCAUUGUUCGGAUGUUUUAUAUUUCUUACCUAUUUCCUCUCAUGACAUUUAUGGUAAAUCAUCCCAUAAUUUGGUAA